rnacentral:sRNA from 1 species
UCCCUUUCAAAGAUCUGUCUUCUUACAAUCUCUCUGAAAACUCCUCUUGACACCAACCUCCCAGGCUGAGUAACAGAUUCAAACUUUGUGAUUGUGGAAUUGGAAAGUUGAAGAUCUGGAUCCAAGUCAUCUUGAGCUAACUUUGGUCCUUUCCGUGACUAGCAGUAUUCCUUCAUCUGACCUGACAUCCUUUGACCAGCAGGUUAAACUUUUAACAUGUGUUCCUGGCAGACGACUGGUAUCCACAAAUUCAAUAGCCGAGAAUGGCAGCAUUACGUGUCUGAAACCUAAGACAGGCUUCCCCUACUUUGCCUGGGAUUCCCACCAGUGAGAUUGAAAAGAAGUACUUGGCAUUAGCAAAGGCACUUGGAUAAUUUAAACAAACACACUCUUGACGGGAGGAUCAGAACUGAGUUCCCCACCCUGUCUCUUUGCUUACUGGGAACUUUCCUGCCAGCAUUUCAGAAGAGUCGAGAACAGGCCUACGUGAAUGCUCGCAUGUCCAUGCAAUCCUGUCCGUCUGGGCUCUCUGGCAGUCCUUACAUUCUUCAUCUUUUGACAUCCUAGAUGAAAAAAAUAACAAGCACUGUUCACCACUGGACACUUAACGACUAACAAAACGGCAGUUUACAACCACCCCAAAUAACCCUGCUGCUAUCUGUGGGCUGGCGACAUCCCUCACAAUAUUCCUAAUAACUCGAGCUCAGUGUGAAGAUGUAUCAAUCAUGGCCAAGUGUUGGCGAGUUGGAAAGACUCUGGGUACAAAUCAUCUUCUAUGAGCCCCACCCGCUGCCCUGGGGGUUGCCAAGAUAUCAAACACUUACUUGAGCCAAUAUGUAUAACUUCACAGGAAUAGAGGUUGUAUAAAGAUGGACCAAAUGCCAUAAUCAAUUGAUUGUAUUUGCCAUUCCUUAAAAUGGAUAAAAGUACUGUCUUUGUACAUUGUUGGUUUUGGCGUAUGUGUUGUAUGCGGUAUACGUUGGGGUAUGUGUUUA